rnacentral:lncRNA from 1 species
CUCCUGGCCUCAGGUGAUCCGCCUGCCUCGGCCUCCCACAGUGCUGGGAUGACAGGCGUGAGCCACUACGCCCGGCACGGGUCCAUCUUUUAGACCUGUUAACCACCGAGGCCCCCGGGACAGGGCCUCUUCCCUUCUCUCGAGUGUACUUCCACUCCCACUUUGCUGCAGAAGUGUCGGGCUUUCCUAUCCUGUGUGGUGGAGACGGUCAGCCAUCCAGCGAAGGCCAUGCUCUCCUCCAGGCCAUAGAGAGGUCCGUGUGCAGCUGCCUGACGAGAACUGCAUUCCCCAGCCCCAGCGGCGUCAGGGAGCACCUCACCGUGUGUUCUCGCCCAGGGCAGUGGAGACAAGCCAUUGGGAGUGCUCUCUCCAUGGCCUCUUCCUGCCGCCACCUGCACAUAGAAGCUGAGUGGACCAACCAGGAGCAAGCUGGGGUCCCCGGGUGACCAAGGACAAGGAGAAGUUGCCUGCGAUGUGGGAAGACUGGGCCUUUUCAUGAGGGAACAACACCUAUCCUGGUGGUGACGAGAAUUUUGCCAUCCUCUAAGCAGACUUCAGUGAGGUGCACUGUCCCAAAUGAUGAUACACCUGCAGAGGAGACGCAGCACGCAGAGUGGAAAGUGUGUGUGUUCCUGGGGCCACCCCUAUUCACUCACAGUGGUUAACCUGCACUAACAAGCACUGCCAGGUAGAAACACUUCCUAGUCUACAUGUGGACUGUAGCCUGCACAGACCUAGGGGGACUGACCAAAGGGGGGCGAAUGAGGGAAUAAAAGAUAAGAUACAAAAGAGUGUAUUUGUGCUCACGCACACCCCCUGGCGCAGGCCGACUGUGGCUCUGCCUACAGCGCUUCCUCCUGAGCUGCAGGAGGGCCAUGUCUUGUGGUCGUGUUUGCUGCAGCUUUGCCGUCUGGAUGGAGCCUGGCACUGAGCUGGUUGAGGCCGUCUGCAGGCCUUUACUGGGCUCUUCCCUUGGAAGCUUCUUACUGAUGCCAGGACCUCCCAGCAGGUGACCCUCAGCCCCACAGAUCACAGAAUUCCACACUCUUAGCUCCUAGAACUUUUCUCCCUCUUGUGUGAGAAUGCACAGACCACACACUCUUUCUUUGUUGCAGAGGUUCAGCCACCUUUUCUAACCUGAGACUCUGGGUGACAUAACUCCUGAUAGGUGAUAGCUCUUUGUAACAAUCACCAGCACCUUGCCCAGCCAAGGGCCCGGAAGCAAGAAAAAAACAACCAAAACACCAUGUCACAGCCAGGAGAGCCUUGCACGCUUCACACACAGCUCAACAAGCCUGGGUUUCCGGUGUCUCAACUCCUGCAGAAAUGAAGCCUCAAGUCAGGAAGGGUGAGGAGGGGCACGGACAAGGCCCAACGGCAGCAGGAUGGCGCAGAAAGCCUGAGGGACACAAAACCUUCUAGGCCUAGUCGUAGGCAGUGGGGCAGCACCGUGGAGCCACGUGGUAGAGGGAUAGCCGCCCUGUGUGUCCAGGGCAAGGUGGCACAGCAUGCCUGGACCGCUGAGAAGGAAGGACUUCCCUCAAGAAUGUGUCUUGCGCCGGGUGCAGGGGCUCACGCCUGUAAUCCCAGCACUUCAGGAGGCCAGGGUGGGUGGAUCGCCUGAGCCCAGGAGUUUGAGACCAACCUGGACAACAUAGUGAGACCAUCUCUACAAACAUAAAAAUAAAUUAGCUAGGCAUGGUGGCACAUGCCCGGGGUCUCAGUUACUGCAGAGGCUGAGGCAGGAGAAUCACUUAAACCCAGGAGUUCAAGGCUGCGGUGAGCUGAGAUCACACCACUGCACUCCAGCCUGGAUGACAGAACAAGACCCUGUCUUAAAAAACAGACAGACAACAAAAGAAUGUGUCUCUGAAAAAGGCCCACGUCUGUGGCUGUUAAACAGAGCAGCUCGUCUCCUGAGGCUGGAGCGAUGGAGCUGGAAGGGCCUCACAGCUGUCCGGGCCAGGCUCCUUGCUGCACAGGUGGGAUCUGCUGGCUCCAGAGAGUUCUUCAGACCCUGCAAGAGGGAUCUGAGAAGAGGGACCAGGCCCCCCGGUUCCCAGGCCCUGACUCUCCCACUGUUUGUCCUUCCCUGAUCAGAGCAGAUAAACAUCACCGUACCAUAGAUGGGACUUCUAGAAAUUCCCCACACAGGACUGGGUUAAUUCUAAGGUAUUGCUUUAGCUCUGUGAAGAAAAUGUAGUCAAUUUGUAAAAUUGAAGUCAAUUUGUAAAAUGACUCAAUUUGUAAAUGAAGUCAAUUUGUAAAAUA